rnacentral:rRNA from 1 species
AUGAAGAUGGAGUUGCUAGUAAUCGCGAAUCAGAAUGUCGCGGUGAAUACGUUCCCGGGUCUUGUACACACCGCCCGUCACACCAUGGGAGUUGGUAACGCCCGAAGUCAGUGACCCAACCUUAGGGAGGGAGCUGUCGAAGGCGGGACUGAUAACUGGGGUGAAGUCGUAACAAGGUACC